rfam:Gossypium arboreum cultivar AKA8401 contig_1174_1, whole genome shotgun sequence.
UAUUCAAAAUUUCAUCCAUUUGUGCUGUUAAAAAUUGGUGUGGUUGACGGAAUAACUGAACAGUGACACGUGGUGUGCCAUGUAUCUCAUGCUGAUGUACAAAGAUCAAUUUUUAAUAGUAGAAAUAAAUAAAAUUUUUAACA